UGACGGGCUGUGUAGGGUUGAGGUAGUGACGGGCUGUGUAGGAUUGAGGUAGUGAUGGGCUGUGUAGGGUUGAGGUAGUGACGGGCUGUGUAGGGUUGAGGUAGUGAUGGGCUGUGUAGGGUUGAGGUUGUGACGGGCUGUGUAGGGUUGAGGUAGUGACGGGCUGUGUAGGGUUGAGGUAGUGACGGGCUGUGUAGGGUUGAGGCAGUGACGGGCUGUAUAGGGUUGAGGUAGUGACGGGCUGUGUAGGUUUGAGGUAGUGAUGGGCUGUGUAGGGUUGAGGUAGUGACGGGCUGUGUAGGGUUGAGGUAGUGACGGGCUGUGUAGGGUUGAGGUAGUGACGGGCUGUGUAGGGUUGAGGUAGUGACGGGCUGUCUUGGCUUGACGUAGCGACGGGCUGUGUAGGGUUGAGGUAGUGACGGGCUGGGUAGGGUUGAGGUAGUGACUGGCUGUGUAGGGGUGAGGUAGUGACGGGCUGUGUAGGGUUUGAGGUAGUGAUGGGCUGUGAGGUAGGGUUGAGGUAGUGACGGGCUGUGUAGGGUUGAGGUAGUGACGGGCUGUAUAGGGUUGAGGUUGUGACGGGCUGUGUGAGGGUUGAGGUAGUGACGGGCUGUAUAGGGUUGAGGUAGUGACGGGCUGUGGGUUGAGGUAGGGGCUGUUGGGUUGAG
ensembl:lncRNA